CAGGUGGAGCGCUUAGAAGUGAGAAUGCCGGUAUGAGUAGCGAAAGAUGGGUGAGAAUCCCAUCCACCGAAUGCCUAAGGUUUCCUGAGGAAGGCUCGUCCGCUCAGGGUUAGUCGGGACCUAAGCCGAGGCUGAAAAGCGUAGGCGAUGGACAACAGGUUGAUAUUCCUGUACCACCUCUUUACCGUUUGAGCAAUGGGGGGACGCAGGAGGAUAGGGUAAGCGCGCUGCUGGAUUAGCGCGUCCAAGCAGUUAGGCCGGUAACGAGGCAAAUCCCGUUACCACAUAGGCUGAGCUGUGACGGCGAGGGAAAUUUAGUACCGAAGUUCCUGAUUCCACACUGCCAAGAAAAGCCUCUAGCGAGGGAAAAGGUGCCCGUACCGCAAACCGACACAGGUAGGCGAGGAGAGAAUCCUAAGGUGAGCGAGAGAACUCUCGUUAAGGAACUCGGCAAAAUGACCCCGUAACUUCGGGAGAAGGGGUGCUCAUUAGGGUGAAUAGCCCUGAUGAGCCGCAGUGAAUAGGCCCAGGCGACUGUUUAGCAAAAACACAGGUCUCUGCGAAGCCGCAAGGCGAAGUAUAGGGGCUGACGCCUGCCCGGUGCUGGAAGGUUAAGAGGAGAGGUUAGCGCAAGCGAAGCUUUGAAUCGAAGCCCCAGUAAACGGCGGCCGUAACUAUAACGGUCCUAAGGUAGCGAAAUUCCUUGUCGGGUAAGUUCCGACCCGCACGAAAGGCGUAACGAUCUGGGCACUGUCUCAACGAGAGACUCGGUGAAAUUAUAGUACCUGUGAAGAUGCAGGUUACCCGCGACAGGACGGAAAGACCCCGUGGAGCUUUACUGUAGCCUGAUAUUGAAUUUUGGUACAGCUUGUACAGGAUAGGUAGGAGCCUGAGAAGCCGGAGCGCUAGCUUCGGUGGAGGCGUCGGUGGGAUACUACCCUGGCUGUAUUGAAAUUCUAACCCGCGCCCCUUAUCGGGGCGGGAGACAGUGUCAGGUGGGCAGUUUGACUGGGGCGGUCGCCUCCUAAAAAGUAACGGAGGCGCCCAAAGGUUCCCUCAGAAUGGUUGGAAAUCAUUCGCAGAGUGUAAAGGCACAAGGGAGCUUGACUGCGAGACCUACAAGUCGAGCAGGGACGAAAGUCGGGCUUAGUGAUCCGGUGGUUCCGCAUGGAAGGGCCAUCGCUCAACGGAUAAAAGCUACCCCGGGGAUAACAGGCUUAUCUCCCCCAAGAGUCCACAUCGACGGGGAGGUUUGGCACCUCGAUGUCGGCUCAUCGCAUCCUGGGGCUGUAGUCGGUCCCAAGGGUUGGGCUGUUCGCCCAUUAAAGCGGUACGCGAGCUGGGUUCAGAACGU
rnacentral:rRNA from 1 species